UAGGGAAUCUUCGGCAACGGGGGGAACCCUGACCGAGCAACGCCGCGUGAGUGAAGAAGGUUUUCGGAUCGUAAAGCUCUGUUGUUAAGGAAGAACGAGUGUGAGAAUGGAAAGUUCAUGCUGUGACGGUAGUUAACCAGAAAGGGACGGCUAACUACGUGCCAGCAGCCGCGGUAAUACGUAGGUCCCGAGCGUUGUCCGGAUUUAUUGGGCGUAAAGCGAGCGCAGGCGGUUAGAAAAGUCUGAAGUGAAAGGCAGUGGCUCAACCAUUGUAGGCUUUGGAAACUGUUUAACUUGAGUGCAGAAGGGGAGAGUGGAAUUCCAUGUGUAGCGGUGAAAUGCGUAGAUAUAUGGAGGAACACCGGUGGCGAAAGCGGCUCUCUGGUCUGUAACUGACGCUGAGGCUCGAAAGCGUGGGGAGCGAACAGG
rnacentral:rRNA from 1 species